rnacentral:tRNA from 2 species
GGGGGUAUAGCUCAGUUGGUAGAGCGUCACAAUGGCAUUGUGAAGGCCAGCGGUUCGAAUCCGCUUACCUCCA